rnacentral:rRNA from 1 species
GGUAACACUAACUGGAGGACCGAACCGACUAAUGUUGAAAAAUUAGCGGAUGACCUGUGGCUGGGGGUGAAAGGCCAAUCAAACCGGGAGAUAGCUGGUUCUCCCCGAAAGCUAUUUAGGUAGCGCCUCGUGAAUUCAUCUCCGGGGGUAGAGCACUGUUUCGGCUAGGGGGCCAUCCCGGCUUACCAACCCGAUGCAAACUGCGAAUACCGGAGAAUGUUAUCACGGGAGACACACGGCGGGUGCUAACGUCCGUCGUGAAGAGGGAAACAACCCAGACCGCCAGCUAAGGUCCCAAAGUCAUGGUUAAGUGGGAAACGAUGUGGGAAGGCCCAGACAGCCAGGAUGUUGGCUUAGAAGCAGCCAUCAUUUAAAGAAAGCGUAAUAGCUCACUGGUCGAGUCGGCCUGCGCGGAAGAUGUAACGGGGCUAAACCAUGCACCGAAGCUGCGGCAGCGACACUAUGUGUUGUUGGGUAGGGGAGCGUUCUGUAAGCCUGCGAAGGUGGCCUGUGAGGGUUGCUGGAGGUAUCAGAAGUGCGAAUGCUGACAUAAGUAACGAUAAAGCGGGUGAAAAGCCCGCUCGCCGGAAGACCAAGGGUUCCUGUCCAACGUUAAUCGGGGCAGGGUGAGUCGACCCCUAAGGCGAGGCCGAAAGGCGUAGUCGAUGGGAAACGGGUUAAUAUUCCCGUACUUGGUGUUACUGCGAAGGGGGGACGGAGAAGGCUAUGUUGGCCGGGCGACGGUUGUCCCGGUUUAAGCGUGUAGGUGUGUGUUCCAGGUAAAUCCGGUU